rnacentral:rRNA from 1 species
UGCGCAGGCGGGUUGGCAAGUCAGAGGUGAAAUCUCACGGCUUAACUGUGAAACUGCCUUUGAUACUGCUGAUCUUGAGUAUGGAAGAGAGAGACGGAAUUCCAGGUGUAGUGGUGAAAUACGUAGAUAUCUGGAAGAACACCAGUUGCGCAGGCGGUCUCUUGGUCCAAUACUGACGCUCAGGCAACGAAAGCGUGGGUAGCAAACA